GUGACAGGAGCAUUUCCGAGAGGAGUCUGCAGAAAUUUAUUUGAGAUUAUAAAGUUUAUUUUAAUUGUGUUUUAAAAUCAGACAUCACAAUGGCAAACGAAUUAAUAUGGAUUCACCGCACAGUGAGAAUGAUGUUCCUCUGCUCGUUUUUGCACUUCGCCUCGCUCUUCGGCCACGACCUCCUCGACACGGACGCCGACCCCCACUCCCCGAACGACUUGCUGAACGACUACGUCCGUCACUCUUACACGUACGACCAGGAAGAGUACGACGACCUGGGAUUCCCCCUCGACGACCGCCGAGAGAAGGACGAGGACGACGAGGACGAGGACGUGUCCCCGGUCGAGUUCGUGUACGACCGGAGGUUCCCGUCCAGGUUCCUGCCGAUCGACCGGCGGGUACACCAGCUAUGAACACACAGGGCCGCUUCGACCUCCUCAACCCAGUUCUCGGGCCGGAAGGAGCCCCCUUUGUCGAAGGAGACAUGGUUUUCUCAGAAGAAGAGGGGGCGGCGGCGGCGGAGGAGGACGGAGGGCGGAAGCUCCCGUCGGAGGAGGAGCUGCUGUGGCCGCCGCACCCGGGAACAGGCUUUCCCUUCGUCCCGUUCGUCGUUCACAGCUCGGCCGAGAAAAUCAGGCCUUUCCUCGAGAAGGCCAUCCGCUCGUGGGAGAAGCGCACCUGCAUCACCUUCAAGGAACUACCCUCCGAAAUCGAACACAACUUCUUAGGAACGCAGAAGCGCCACCUUGGGCCAUACCUUGAGUUCGUGCGGAGUUCCGGCUGCUGGAGCUACGUCGGGAGGCAGUACCGGCGGUGGGGGGGACAGAAACUCUCGAUCGGGCGGGGUUGCACGAAGCUCGGCACAGUAUUGCAUGAAAUCGGCCAUGCACUCGGCCUCCUGCAUGAACAAUCGCGGAGUGACCGAGACGAGCAUGUGAAGAUCUUGUGGAAAAACGUCAUGCACGGGAAGCAGAAGAACUUUCGUGUGUGGAAAGACAGUCGAUUUGAUGAAGUGCCUUACGACUACUCUUCCGUCAUGCACUAUGGGAGUUAUUUUUUCGGCCAAGGCGGCCGGCCGACCCUUCUCCCCAGGAACCCUUUCCACCAGCACCUCCUUGGCCAGAGGGAUGGCUUUUCCUUCAGGGACAUCGCGGUGGCCAACUCCGUCUACGGCUGCAUUAAGCGAUGGGAAGCCUCCUGCGGCGCCUCGACCCCGAAGUGCGAGAACGGAGGCUACGUGUUCAGGGACUGCCGCUGCCUGUGCCCGCCCGGAACAGCCGGGCCUUCGUGCGCUGCUGUGACCGGGGACUACUAUCCACAGCUGAAGUGUGGCGGUAACGUGACGUCGUCCCAAAUCAUCUCGUCGCCAAGAUAUCCGCAGCCCUUUCCUGCGAAUUCAUGGUGCAUGUGGUGGGCGAGAGCACCACGCCCAUGCCAGCGCGUGAGGCUCGUCGUGGGCGCCUUCGAGCUCCUGCGCGGUGUGGGCGGCGUCUGCCACUGGGACUUGCUCGAGGUCCGGCUUCGGGACCCCCUUGAGGCGGGCGACGUUGCCCCGACCCAUCGUCCUCCCCCCUCCCGUCCCCCAGGUACUGCGGCGCCGACCUGUCCCCCGGCCAAGAGCUCGUCUCCGAAGGCCGGGACAUGUUCAUCGUCUUCCGCGGGAGGUAUGGCUUCGUGAGCGGGUUUUCGGCUCGGCUGGACUUCGUCGAGGGUGAGAGGGCGGGGAGCGAAGGAGGCGAGGAAUCAGCAGGGGUUAUGGGAGAUGAAGCGGAAAGUGGGCCGACAGGAGAAGGAAGAGGCACUGAUGGCGGAAAUUCGCUGUUUAAUUAGUGACAUCGAAAUUCGACGAAAAUAUUUUUCCCGUCGAUGUUAAACAGAAUCCUUGAAAUGCUGAAACUUGGUAUUUGCUUUGGCAAGAAGAAUGAUAAAGAUUAUGGUGAUUAAUCGUGAUGGCUUGAAAUUACAAAAUUAUUGCAAAUAAAAGCUUAUAUUAAGUAUUAAUUAACUGUUUUUCCAUGUGCAAAGUCACACUAAUGGUAUAUGUCCCUUCAUCUGCAUCCUUCCGAACUUCAACUGUGUAACUGUGGCAAAUGGUGUCCUUCAAACUAUACUGCUAUGCACAUUUAUACAAACUUUUUCGGGUUAAGGAUAUUCGUUUUUCAAUUUCUCUCAAAUCAACGUGUCUAAUGUGUUAUCUUAUUACAUCUUUGGUCAAACAUUGUAUAAUCUCUCUAAUGUUUACUUAAUACUGACUUUUUUUUGUGUGUGUGUUA